UACGGAGGGUGCAAGCGUUAAUCGGAAUUACUGGGCGUAAAGCGUGCGCAGGCGGUUUGUUAAGUCCGUUGUGAAAGCCCCGAGCUCAACUUGGGAAUUGCAGUGGAUACUGGCAGGCUGGAGUACGGUAGAGGAAGGUGGAAUUCCCGGUGUAGCAGUGAAAUGCGUAGAUAUCGGGAGGAACACCAGUGGCGAAGGCGGCCUUCUGGACCAGUACUGACGCUCAUGCACGAAAACGUGGGGAGCAAACAGG
rnacentral:rRNA from 1 species